rnacentral:rRNA from 1 species
GUUAGGAAUAUUGGACAAUGGGCGAAAGCCUGAUCCAGCCAUGCCGCGUGAACGAUGAAGGCCUUCGGGUUGUAAAGUUCUUUAGCCGAUGAUUAUAAUGACUGUAGUCGGAAAAUAAGCCCCGGCUAACUUCGUGCCAGCAGCCGCGGUAAUACGAAGGGGGCGAGCGUUAUUCGGAAUCACUGGGCGUAAAGCGUGCGUAGGCGGUUUUGUAAGUUAGGAGUGAAAGCCCAGGGCUCAACCUUGGAAUUGCUCUUAAAACUGCAAGGCUAGAAUCUCGGAGAGGAUAGCGGAAUUUCCAGUGUAGCAGUGAAAUGCGUAGAUAUUGGAAGGAACACCAGUGGCGUAAGCGGCUAUCUGGACGAGUAUUGACGCUGAGGCACGAAAGCGUGGGGAUCAAACAGGAUUAGAAACCCGUGUAGUCC